AUAGCGGGAAUUUUUUUUUUGUAUAGUGUGCCCGCAUUUUGGGAAGGGGGAAAGGAAUAGUGGGAAAUGGUUUUUUUUUGGUAUGGUGCGUUCAAAUGAAGCAGUUUCGUAUGAAUGAAUCGUCCAUUCAUGAUGUUUUAAACAAUAAACCCUAAUGGAUCGCCCUCUAGAAGGGGAAGAUACGAUUAAUGUAAUCUCAAUCCAUUUUUGUUUCCAGAUUUUUUUGCUCUGCUAUGUAAUAGAGCUAAAUCUGCAUAUUUUUUAUGCAAAAUAUGUAUGAAAUUUUUUUGACAUUCGGUGAUUGGAGCUGUAGGUGGAUGUCAAUCCACUCACAGAUAUGAAUCAGCAAGAGGGUCCUGUGGAUCUUGAUUCUUGGUAACACCAGUUGUAAGAGACUACAGCCAAAACAAGAUUUACUAGAACAUGCUAUUUCCACAGAUGUUGAUUAGGGUUUUCAUUUUGGGCAUGCAAGUUAGAAGAGAUAUUGCUACACAAGUGAGGUAUGAUAGUAUAAAAUAUAAUACAAGGGUAACGUAGUAUUUUAUAACUUCAAAGAUUUUGCAGCACAAUCUGGCCAGGACUUCACAACGCAUCAUGGAAUCAAACUUGGAUCAGCAGCAGGACUUGCUGACAAGAUCGGGUAAAGGAAGGAUGCUACGAGGAGCGGGAUGGAGGUUAAUCUUAGACGACCGCUUUAAAUCGAUUUGCCAUGUUCGUCACUGGCCCUGCGAGCAAAAAUUGAUAUCAGAUUAAAGGAGGAAAGAAAUACUCAGGGAUUUAAUGCCUCAUGAAAAUCUCACUUUUUCUCUCAUGGCACAACCCUGAUGGGACAGUAUGUCGAGCAAUGGAAAAGUGGAGAUAAAGAUGUUGAGAUGGCACCUUAACUGCUAUUCAGACACCAAUUUCUACUAGCUUAUGUGGAGAUAUUAGCGAUUCAUCUUUAAUUCAUUGUUCUUUGCCUAUUCAUCUUUCUAUGUUCUUCAUAUUUGUCUUAAAAUUUGACAAUGUAAUACAUGAAAAGUUUGGUUGAAAUGGGACGGAAAUUUAUCCCUUGAAAGUUUUUGUGCUUUAACUAAACAUAAUAAGUGGUUAUUGCAAAUUUGCGUCGUUGCAAUUUAUUUACUACUUUGGUAUUACAUGGAUACCAAUAGCAAGGAUAAUUUUCCCUCUUCCUUUUCUUUUUU